UCUGAGUCGUUACAAAACCUGGAGCGUCCUCCCUCUGUGCAUUUACCUUACACUGCUUAUCAGCACCGACGAAUGAGAGAUUCUGAGGAAAUUAGGGUUUUGCUCUGAUCGGAUUCAGUGGGUUUGAUUUACGAUUUGUAGUGGCGACGAGGGGUCUCUGCUUCGUUUCUGUGCUUGUUCAUGUGGGGUUGGAGUUCAUGAUCGUUGGAGAGAGCGAAGGAGAGAGAGCAAUGGGGGUCUUUGAGGUGAGAGAGAUCGACCUGGAUUACGAGUUUGAUGCGGUUCGGUGGUACGAUUUCUCGGCGGAGGAGUCGCCGGAGGAGGUUCUGGUCGCCGAGCUCUGGUUCGAGACCGCUCAGUCUUACCCGCCGUCUCCUUUUGUAACAAAAUUGCUACUCAGAGACCAUGUUUCUGAUGGCAAAACUGAGCUCUCAACAAGACCAGAAGAUGGAGAAGCUACAUCAGACAUUUGCGAUACUGACAGAGAAGUUGGGAAGCUUUCAGAUUAUUUAGCCAAAGAUGUGAAUAAGACAGGAACUGGAAUUCGCUCUGGGAUUUGUGCCUCCUCACAAGGUGGAAGUUUGAAUGAAGUUCCAAGCCAACCCUUGUAUAAAGGACCAACAUUUAGCAAUCAUGUACACGCUCAUAAACCAAAAUGCGGAACAAAGUCAAGCGUCCAGCUGACAUCUAGGAGAUCCACAUUGAUGAAACCUACUGCUAGUCAAUUGGCUAAACAAAAUCAUUACAGGUUGGAAAUUCAAGCUACUAAAAGGCAGAAGCUUGAGGGAGGGCUACUUUGUAAGAUUGCUGAUAUGAAGGAAGAGAUGAAUUUCGUCCACAAAACACCCAAGAAUGGGGCGACUCUUGAUAGGAACUUGCAACGUACUAGGACAAAGAUAACAGCCCCACAACAACUUGAGCGUGCCACGACGCAGUGGGCACAGAGGAUACGGCCAAUGAAUGAUGUUAAGACAGAACCGGACUCAACAGCUGUUUAUAGAUUCAAAGCCCGCCCCUUUAACCGAAAAAUUUUUGUGGCUCCAUCAUUGCCCAUCCGGAUGAAGAGCACUCCACAGCUACCAGAAUUUCAUGAAUUUCACUUGAGGACCUCAGAAAGGGCUAUGCAACAUUCAUCGGCUGUUACAACUACGUCAUAUCAGUGCAUUGAUUCUGAUAUGGGAUCAGAGAAUCAUAAUACAACUACUGUUCUCGAUGGCGUUAACGAGGAGACUAGGAGACCAAGCACUAUGGAUAUUGCUAAGCAUGAUGUCUCCAAUAUAAAUCAUGUUACUAAAGCUCGUCCUUUAAACAAGAAGAUACUUUCAAGUAGAGAUGACGUCGGUGUUUUCAGAAAUAACAAAACAGAAACAACUUUACCCUUGAAAUUUGGUGUUCAUGAGGAGAAGAGGGUUCAACAAGACCUGCCGACUUAUCUUUUCAGUAAGCUCUCCAUAAUAUCCGAGCUCCAGCCAGACAAUGGAUCUCGCUCAAAGUUUCCUCAACCUCCAUCCGGAUUAAUGAAGGGCUCAAAGGAAAAUAGACUGAAUUCUUUCCAAUCCAAGCAUGGCAUGAGACGUUACAGAUAACAAGCAAAGUUAAGGGGACCUCAAUCUCAGCAGGUUCAAUGAGGUAACAGCGGUGUCCUUUCUGAAACCAACCAGCAGUAGAACGGUAGGAGUAACUUAGGCAUUCACUGGCUGACAGCGGUAAGAGUUCUAUAGGGAAUCAGCUCCUUUUCGUACAUUCAGAUGGCCGAGCAGUCCAGCUCAUGCGACGAGGGCCUCACGAUUUGAAGGCGGAGAGACUGAAAAUGCUCAUUUCAGAUUAAAAAUAUAAUAGAAAUGUGUUUAUAUAAUGUAUGUGACAAACGGUUCAAAGUCGACAAUGUAAUGAAAAGAAGCCAAAUAAAAAACAUAAAAUAUAAUACAAUGGACAGACGGUACACAUGGGGACGUACCCAAUUUUUUCUUA